rnacentral:lncRNA from 1 species
UGUUUGGUGGUUGAAGAUCCUGUCCAUGGCAUUCAUCUAGAAACAUUUACACAAGCCACACCAGUGCCUUUGGAAUUUGUACAGCAGGUUGGUUUUCUCCUUUGCUUUUUCAUUAUGCUCCAGAGAAACUUACACUAUUGUUUUCAGAAUAAAAAUUUGUUCGGUUUUUUUGUUAGAAAUAUGUUCUUGAUUUUGUUUCAGUCAUUUUUCUUUUAGUAUUUUUCUUUGCUUUUUAAUUUCCUGAUCCUUCCAUGUUGUUUUAGUACCUUCCUCCUUUUGUUUUCCAGGUGUCUUUGAAAGGUAAUACAUUACAUGGUUAAUCAUUAUUUCUCUCAUUUUUUUCUUUGUUUUUACUCUGAGUUCUGGAAAAGAUUUACCUUUUCUAGUUGUUUUAUGUCCGCCUUUCGUUUGCUUUCCCUUUUAUCUCACAUUUCAUUUCCACUGUUAUCUCCAUUUCCCUUUUCCUUGAUUGAUUGUCCUCCUGUUCAUCUUUAGUGAAAUCAACAUUAGAAACCUUAUAGGCACGUGUCUUUAGGUUUUUGGCUGAAAAAUGGACCUAAUAGUGUACCUAUCCACACAGUUUCCAGGAGAAUGCUCAAAGUCUAACUCCCCAGGACUAUAAUCUGAGGUGGUCAGGCCUUUUGGUGACAGUGGGUGAAGUCCUGGAAAAGAGUUUACUGAAUGUCAGCCGGACUGAUUGGCACAUGGCAUUUACUGGGAUGUCCCGUCGGCAGAUGAUCUACAGUGCAGCCAGAGCGAUAGCGGGCAUGUAUAAACAGCGCCUGCCACCCAGGACAGUGUGAGAGGAGACCUACCUGGGAGACUGAGACUUUCCCCCACUUUUAGCUUGAUGUUAAAGAAGUGGUUGUACCUUCCUAAAUCGAAUAGUCUAAAUGAAUCCAGUAGUUUUUAUCAUUUUCCUGUAGCCUGCAAUUUUUCUUUCUCUAGAAAGGCAUCAUGUCAUUCCAGGAGACAAAAAGAAACAAAUCCUUUUUAUAGUCAUACCAUUUCACCUAUCAUAGUACUCAAAAAAGAAAA